CGGGAUGACAGUGAGUGAAAUCCUAGCCUGAAAAAAAAGGAAGAAGAAUAUCACAGUGUUCACAGCAGCAGGGAAAUAGUGACGGAUGCUGCGGGAUGCUCUCUUCGGUGGUCCUGGCGCUCUCGGCUUGGCGUUUGUGUUUGGUGAAGUUGAAAGCUGCUGGUGUUGGUGCUGGUGAGUGCUUUCGCGAGUGAACGAGGAAAACAAAUUUCUCGAUUGGGUGGAUUGCUGCUGCUUCCCUUCUGCCAGAUGAUUGCCAUUUGUGAAGGGUUUUUCUCUAAUUGGCAGCUCUGAAGUUGAGGGUUGAUUGUGUGAAUCAAAGAUCGAAGCUUCACCGUUUUGUUUGUGGAGCUGGAAUCGGAAGAAGAGUCACUAGGCACGGCCAGAUUGUAUGGGUGAAAUGUCAAAUAAGAUGAGUGUUUAAGGGUGUUGUUUUUUUUUUCCUGGGAGAAAGGAGCAGGGAAAAAAUGCACUCGUACAGUUCUCGGCCAGUGAGGAAGUGCUCAGGCGAGUGAAGUCCUAAAGCAUAACACACUCAAUCUGGCAACUGAUGGAAAUAGUGUAAAAGUUGCGAAUAAAUGAUUGCGAUUCAGAUUGGGCUAGGUCAGCGUGUGUGAAAAAAUCGUAGUCGCGAAAUUGCCUGCGUGCUGAUCCGUGUCAAGUUCGCUGUGUUGUUGUUCAAAUUGCCGAGGCAGAAAAACAUAGUCAAUCGCCCAGUGGGUGGCGAAAGGCGGAAACAAGUGAUAAUGAUGAUAAUUUAGUGCAUGUGAGCGUACAAGUGCAAGGGAAACGAAAAUCCUGUCGGUGAGAGUACUUCAGCUGUAUAAUAGCACUUACGUGUCAAUCCGUCUAUGUCUGCGGAGCCAAGCACCUACCUUAACCGGAGAAACGGGGGUGGAAAACAAGAAAUGUAAUUUACCAUUUCUUCCAACUUCCUGCUGCCAAGUGGAUCCCGUACAGUUGGUUAGUUAUAUAGUUGGUGCUUGUCGAAAGUGAUGUGAAGUGAGGAUUAGCGCUGUUCUCAAGCUUCGAGCAGUAAUAAACAGAGGAUUAACAUAAGUAAUACACUUACGGCUGCCAUUGUCAUCCUCUGCUGGCCGUCAUCAACAUCACCAUCAUCAUCAUCAUCGCCGUCAGUGAAGAACGAACGAGACGGGACUCAAAACUUUCGGCAAAGGAAUAAGGGUUGCGAAUGUGACCCUAGCUCGGCUUGACACAUCCUACUGAGGUCGCUGCGCCCGUCGGUUUCAACUGCCGAAGGUUCCGGAGGGGACUACCAUUUUGUUGCUCU